rnacentral:rRNA from 1 species
GACAGAGGUCCCGAGCGUUAGGCGGAAUCACUGGGCUUAAAGCGUGUGUAGGCGGACUUCUAAGUACCUUGUGAAAUCCCACGGCCUUAACCGUGGAACUGCUUGGUAUACUGGUUGUCUUGGGCCAUCUAGGGGCUACUGGAACAAACGGUUGGAGCGGUGAAAUGACGUAGAUAUCGUUUGGAACGCCAAUGGUCGAAAACAAGUA